AUUGAACGCUGGCGGCAGGCCUAACACAUGCAAGUCGAGCGAGGGGCGGACGGGUGAGUAAUGUAUGGGGACUGCCCGAAAGAGGGGGAUAACUACUGGAAACGGGGGCUAAUACCGCAUACUAUCGGAUAACCCAUAUGGGAUUAGCUAGUAGGUGGGGUAAAGGCUCACCUAGGCGACGAUCUCUAGCUGGUCUGAGAGGAUGAUCAGCCAACCUGGGACUGAGACACGGCCCAGACUCCUACGGGGGCGGCAGUGGGGAAUAUUGCACAAUGGCCGCAAGCCUGAUGCCGCCAUGCCGGGUGUAUGAAGAAGGCCUUAGGGUUGUAAAGUACUUUCAGCGAGGAGGCGUUACCCGCAGAGGAAGCCCCGGCUAACUCCGUGCCAGCAGCCGCGGUAAUUC
rnacentral:rRNA from 1 species